CCAUCACUUAAUAAAUAGGCCAACACUGCUUCCAAAGUCCAUGGUCCAAACAAAAAGAGAAGCUAGUUCUGAUGGAGAGAGACAGAGAAGAGAGUGUUGAUUUGGCACAAAUCUCUCUUCGACCCCUUCAGCUCUCUGAUGUUGAUGAUUUCGUGGUGUGGACCACUGAUGAAAAAGUAUCCAACACUUGGGAACCUUACAGCAGCAAAGACCAGGGCAUUGACUUCAUUCAAAAUAAAGCAUGCGAGUUUCUAUGGAGCAGAGCAAUCUCUUUAUAUAUAAUAUGAACAUGCUGAUGAUUUUACAAGUCAUAAUAUUUACUGUAUCCAAAAUAUUUUAUGGGGCAGUGGUUUUCUAUUUUGAAUCUGCUUUGUAAGCUUAUACAUGUUAUGAAUUGUGAUCUAUUUCUUUAUGCAGAUGCAAAAUGAUGGAUUCUUCAAUCAGUGGGAUUGGUACUGAACAUGUAGAUAGUGAUAAAGUUGAAAAGUAUGCAUUUUCCAAGGAAGAAUACUUGAAGUCAAAACAAAAAGGAGAAGAGAAGCCAAAAAUUUACAUUGUGCUUCUCAUAAGUUGACAAGAAAAAGUGAGGCUUACAAAGUGAUACUCUCCGUACUCUCAAAAUUACCUAAGUUAAUGUUUGCUAGGGUUGUGUGGGAGCUUUAUAAUUAUCUAUCUAGAUAAUGUUUACUUGUUACAGGAAGAAUAAUUGGAGAUAAAGUGGAUAAUAUCACAAAAUGGUAGUCUAAUUCCUUACAAUUCUUCACCAAUAGAAUGCACAACUAACACUAAAAGUAAGUUUCACUUAGGAUUCUAAUUUCUCAUAAUUUAUGCAUUUUGAAAAUGUACCUUUUCUAGUUUAAGACAAGAAAGCACUACAGUUAUUUUUUCAUAAUAAUAUAAUGUUAUGAUUUUUCAACUCCAAAUUUAUUUGUGGCAUGGACAGUAUUUUAUUUUUCUAUUUCAGUUUAAAUAUAAUACUAAAGAAAUUCAGCAAGUUAUAAGAUGAGAUACAUGAAAGAAACUAAAUUAUGUAAGGUAAUGACAUACAAAAUUUGACAUAAAUAUUUAUAUACUAAGAUGAGAUGCAUGAUAGUAAGUUGGGUGCUUUAGUUGUUUAUUUAAAUACAAAAAAAGUGUUCAUAUUGGUAUUUGUAAUUUGAUAUUGUCCCUUAAGGAUUCAUUUAUUUAACCUAACUUAAAGAUUUGAAGAUUUUUAGUUUAAUUCUUAGCUACCAUCAUAAUUUUUAGGAUAAAAAAAUAAAGUGGGGCAAGGGAUUGGCUCAGAAGAAGAAAUUUAGUUUAGUCAGAUAUAUGUUACUCUUCGUACGGCUACAAGCUAUAUGGAGGGUUAGUAUAUAAUUUUAUGGAUGUUAUAUAUACAUUCUUAUACUUUACAACUACGUUACUCGCCUUUUUAUGUUAAUCUGAUUAAUUUUGUUUCAACUCAUGUUUUUGCAUCUUCAUUUGUUAAACUCAAUUUAUGUCCAUUAUCAACUAUGGAGAUGUUGGUCCCCAUUUAAUGCUGUUAGCAAAGUGUUGGGUAGAGGAGGGGCAAAAUAUAUGAACUGUGCGCUUCAUGAGUUGAGCUAAAGGACACUACACGGAAUGUGCUAAGUUGGCCGAUUAGGUGCCCGAUUUGGAAAAAUCCUACCAGACAAGUUAUAUUUCAAAGAGCCCAACAUAUAAUUAAAUUAUUAAUUAUGCUGCAAUUCGACCAUCACAACCGUAUCUUGAUCCAACUUCAGGUUAUUUAUUGUUUUCUAUAUAAGAACAUCUUUCAGCUGCCUUUUUAGCAGUUAUAAGAACUUUCGGAUAUUGUCUUACAACCACUAAAUUUCUAGGACAACUAAUGUGCAGUUGAUUAUGUUAUGUUUGAGAUGCUGAUUUCGGUAACAGUGGUUGGUGGAUUGAUUGGUAGAAAACAUUAUCAAGUAAGAGGAAAUUGACAUGAUCCUAUUAAAUGGAUUUUUGUGAUUUUGUGUUGAGAUCUUGUGUGAGUGUGAUACUGUGAUCCUUUGCUGUCGUUAAUCUUUGUCCAAAGCUUGAUUAAGAUUUGUUUUUGGAUUGGACUCUCUUUUAUUUUAUUUCUUUAUUUGUUUUAUUUUCACUCUCAAAAUCUAUGUAGACAAGAAGACAAACUACGAUGUAAAAGUUUCAGCAGUUGAAAGAUCUCAAUAAACUAUGGUUAGUGGGAGCAAUACUACCUUUGAAAGCAAAAAAUUUAAAAAGGAAUAUCUAUUUUUUUUUCAUUUUUAUGUCAUUGUGAAUAGAAAAUUACUAUUUAGAUAUGCUAAAAAUAUGCAUUAUUUUUAUCUGCUAAAAAAAAAAUUACUAUUGUCCUAUUUCCAUAAUUAUAUUUUAAGGUCAGAGAGUCCUUUUUCCUCUAUCAUGAUUUGGUUUCUGAUCUUAAGAGAAAAAAUAUAUGAUAUUGCAAGGCUAUGUUAGUUUGUUUUCUAUAGGUCCCGCAUUACAUAGUUGAUUAUUGCAUUACAGUAAUAUUAUUGUUCCCAAAUGUGAUAAUGCCUUUCAUUAGAGAAGCACCUUACUUUUUGGAGUAAGGACUACAACUUACGAAAUGUGAGCAACUGAUUGAAAAUUAGUUUUUUGCUCUUUGUUUUUUUUCUCCUUUGAUAAUAUUUUCUAUAUGAAUGUAUAGACACUACUCUUCAUCCAGUCAUCUUUUGAGUUUCAACAAACUCAAGCUGUGGAAUGUUCACAUAAGAGAAAUUCAAAAUAUGUGCUUAAAACAAAGUCAACAAAACAAUGGCCAUUGGUUAUACCUUUUUUAUCUUUUGUACAGUCCUGCUUCUUGCCUCUUAAGAUUUUAGAGUGGAUAAGCUUUUAUUACUUUGCUUUCCCUAAGAAAGAUCUUUUUUGGAAGGGUUUGUAAUUGUAAAGUGUAAACAUUGCCACCAAUAUGACAACUUGACAUAUGCAUGGUAAUCUAAGCAUAUUUUCAUUAGUUUUCACUUUUGUUUUUUAAUAAUUAAUUUAAAAUAGUAAAAUUAUACAAAUUUAAUUAUUUUGCAUUUCAAACUGAUGGAGAAAUGAAAAUGGGAUAGCAAAGAAUAAAAAAGAUGUUAACUAUUAUACAAAUGAUAGCAUUUUCAAUUAAUUUUUUAGUAUUUCUGUUUUCAAUCUUUUGUAAUAGAAAAAUGAAAACAUAUUGACAUCUUUUAAGAUUGUAAGAUUCCUAAGACGGUAUAAGGAUGCUUCUUGCUUCUACUUAUUGUUGAGUGAAAAACUUUCCGUUGAAGGGAUCCUGCUCCAUCUAUUCUCUUAAUGCUCUUUCUUAAUGUGAAAAAAUUUUCAGUAUAAAGAUGCUCUCUGUUGCAUGAUUAAUAUAUGUUCUGUGAUUGUUCUUUAAAGUUAUUUUUUUUCUCUUUUCUUUUUUUGUGUUUUGCAUCUGAAGAAGGUUCUUAAAAUUUCUUCUGUUAAUUACUACCUUUCAAGUACUCUUUUAAAUUAAUGUUGCUAAAAUUAUAUAUAUUUUACUCCAAGCACCUUUAGUGAUGCUAAUACAAAAGGUGAUAGAAUGAUUGAUCAAGAUGAGUGGAAAACAUUUGUAUCUAAACAUCCAUCCUUGAUAAAGAACAUGACUACCAUAUCUAAUGUUAGUAUAAGCUCCUCUCCAUGGAAGCAUUUAAUUCUUCAUCCUUUGUUUUUUUUGGAUAUUUUCAUUAAUAGAAGCAUUUAAUUCUUCAUCCUUCCUUUUUCCAAAAGAAAAAACAGUGAUCAAGAAUAGGUUUUAUUAUUUGAUUGUAUGAUUUUAGGAUUUGUGUUUGAUAAGCCAAGAGUUCUAUUGUUGUGACAUGUGAGGUUGAAAGAAAAGGAGUGAGAUUCUAAAGAACGCUAUCCUUAUUAGUUUUUCUAUGGCCAUUGCAUUUGUCAUUUCUUACAUAAUUGAAUAGUAUCCAAAACAUAAAUUGGUACUUGAUUGGAUUGCAACAUGAAGGACAAUUCAAUAGCAAAGUGUUAGGGAAGUAAUUAUUGGUUUGAAAGAUGCAUUUCUAUAUUAUCGUUCAUACAAAGGAGUUGGCAUGUGAUGUUGUGUGAUUAUCAUCUUAGGAUUUAACUUUGCUAUUUUCAUUUUUUCUUUAUUCUAUGAGGAUGCCUCCUAAACACUAAUACAUAUUUUUUCUAUACUUAUCUCAAGUGGGUGUUUAAUUUUCAUAGGAAGGAAGAAGCUAUUUGUGCAGGAACUAAAUGGACCAUAAGAUGUUCAUACACUGUCAUUUGUUUACAAUCAUAUUUGCAUUUAAUAUUGAAUACCAAUUUCUUUGUGCUUCCAUACCAUUUGCACAUGAAUAUCUUAGCAAGUGGUGCUAAAUAUGCUUCAUCGAAUGUGUAUUUUAUGCUUAUUUCUCUUAAUCCAAAUGUCUGGAGCAACAAAAAAGAUUUCUGAAACCAAACUUUCACAGCAACUUGAGGUCACUUGAGUUAUAAGUUUGUUGUGGAUAUUUUCAAUAAUACUUCCAGAAAUCUAUCAUUAAGCUCAUGUAUUUAAGUGUCAUGGAUUACAUAAAUCUAUAAAUUCGUAGUCUGUUUUUUUUAGAUAGUAUCAUUGAAACUUGUCAUAUUCUUU